rnacentral:rRNA from 1 species
UACGGAGGGUGCAAGCGUUACUCGGAAUCACUGGGCAUAAAGGGCGUGUAGGCGGGCUUUCAAGUCGGUUGUGAAAUCCCUCAGCUCAACUGAGGAACUGCAUCCGAUACUGUUUGUCUUGAGGACGAGAGGGGAGUGUGGAACUUCUGGUGGAGCGGUGAAAUGCGUAGAUAUCAGAAGGAACGCCGGUGGCGAAAGCGACUCUCUGGCUCGUAACUGACGCUGAAACGCGAAAGCUUGGGUAGCAAACGGG